UACGUAGGUGACCAGCGUUGUCCGGAUUUACUGGGCGUAAAGAGCGCGCAGGCGGUCGUUCAAGUCGAGUGUGAAAGCCCCCGGCUCAACUGGGGAGGGUCAUUCGAUACUGAUCGACUUGAAGGCAGGAGAGGGAAGUGGAAUUCCCGGUGUAGUGGUGAAAUGCGUAGAUAUCGGGAGGAACACCAGUGGCGAAGGCGACGUCCUGGCCUGUUCUUGACGCUGAGGCGCGAAAGCUAGGGGAGCAAACGGG
rnacentral:rRNA from 1 species